ACAGCAGCGCCGCGGGAAUACGUAGGGUGCAAGCGUUAAUCGGAAUUACUGGGCGUAAAGCGUGCGCAGGCGGUUAUAUAAGACAGAUGUGAAAUCCCCGGGCUCAACCUGGGAACUGCAUUUGAAACUGGCAGGCUAGAGUCUCGUAGAGGGGGGUAGAAUUCCAGGUGUAGCGGUGAAAUGCGUAGAGAUCUGGAGGAAUACCGGUGGCGAAGGCGGCCCCCUGGACGAAGACUGACGCUCAGGUACGAAAGCGUGGGGAGCAAACAGGAUUAGAUACCCGUGUAGUCCCUGUCUCUUAUACA
rnacentral:rRNA from 1 species